AACGAACGCUGGCGGCAGGCCUAACACAUGCAAGUCGAGCGAAGCCUUCGGGCUUAGCGGCGGACGGGUGAGUAACGCGUGGGAACGUGCCCUUUGGUACGGAAUAGCCCCGGGAAACUGGGAGUAAUACCGUAUGUGCCCUUCGGGGGAAAGAUUUAUCGCCAAAGGAUCGGCCCGCGUUGGAGUAGGUAGUUGGUGGGGUAAUGGCCUACCAAGCCGACGUUCCAUAGCUGGUUUGAGAGGAUGAUCAGCCACACUGGGGCUGAGACACGGCCCAGGCUCCUACGGGAGGCAGCAGUGGGGAAUCUUAGACAAUGGGGGAAACCUUGAUCUAGCCAUGCCGCGCGAUCGAUGAAGGCCUUAGGGUUGUAAAGAUCUUUCAGUGGGGAAGAUAAUGACUGUACCCACAGAAGAAGCCCCGGCUAACUCCGUGCCAGCCGCCGCCGUAAUAC
rnacentral:rRNA from 1 species